UGGGGAAUAUUGGACAAUGGGGGAAACCCUGAUCCAGCGACGCCGCGUGACUGAAGAAGUAUUUCGGUAUGUAAAGGUCUAUCAGCAGGGAAGAAAAUGACGGUACCUGACUAAGAAGCCCCGGCUAACUACGUGCCAGCAGCCGCGGUAAUACGUAGGGGGCAAGCGUUAUCCGGAUUUACUGGGUGUAAAGGGAGCGUAGACGGCGAAGCAAGUCUGAAGUGAAAGCCCGGGGCUCAACCCCGGAAUUGCUUUGGAAACUGUUUUGCUGGAGUGCAGGAGAGGCAAGCGGAAUUCCUAGUGUAGCGGUGAAAUGCGUAGAUAUUAGGAGGAACACCAGUGGCGAAGGCGGCUUGCUGGACUGUAACUGACGUUGAGGCUCGAAAGCGUGGGGAGCAAACA
rnacentral:rRNA from 1 species